GGACCGCCAUAACCUCGGGAAACUGAGGCUAAUAGCGGAUAGCGCUCUCGAGCUGGAACAGCCGGGAGCGUGAAACGUUCCGGCGCCACAGGAUGUGACUGCGGCCGAUUAGGUAGAUGGUGGGGUAACGGCCCACCAUGCCGAUAAUCGGUACGGGUUGUGAGAGCAAGAGCCCGGAGACGGACUCUGAGACAAGAGUCCGGGCCCUACGGGGCGCAGCAGGCGCGAAACCUUUACACUGCGCGACAGCGCGAUAGGGGGACACCGAGUGCGAGGGCAUAGAGCCCUCGCUUUUGUGUACCGUAAGGUGGUACACGAAUAAGGGCUGGGCAAGACCGGUGCCAGCCGCCGCGGUAACACCGGCAGCCCAAGUGAUGGCCGCUAUUAUUGGGCCUAAAGCGUCCGUAGCCGGCCGUUCAGGUCCGUCGGGAAAUCCACUGGCUCAACCAGUGGGCGUCCGGCGGAAACCGUUCGGCUUGGGACAGGGAGACCAGAGGGGUACGUCCGGGGUAGGAGUGAAAUCCCGUAAUCCUGGACGGACCAUCGGUGGCGAAAGCGCCUCUGGAGAACUGAUCCGACGGUGAGGGACGAAAGCUAGGGUCUCGAACCGGAUUAGAUACCCGGGUAGUCCUAGCCGUAAACGAUGCUCGCUAGGUGGUGGCGC
rnacentral:rRNA from 1 species